AAAUUGAAGAGUUUGAUCAUGGCUCAGAUUGAACGCUGGCGGCAGGCCUAACACAUGCAAGUCGAACGGUAACAGGAAGCAGCUUGCUGCUUUGCUGACGAGUGGCGGACGGGUGAGUAAUGUCUGGGAAACUGCCUGAUGGAGGGGGAUAACUACUGGAAACGGUAGCUAAUACCGCAUAACGUCGCAAGACCAAAGAGGGGGACCUUCGGGCCUCUUGCCAUCGGAUGUGCCCAGAUGGGAUUAGCUAGUAGGUGGGGUAAMGGCUCACCUAGGCGACGAUCCCUAGCUGGUCUG
rnacentral:rRNA from 1 species